AACUCAGGACACAAGAUCGCUACGGCAGC
rnacentral:sRNA from 1 species